CUAAGAAUAUUCCGCAAUGGACGAAAGUCUGACGGAGCGACGCCGCGUGGAUGAGGAAGGCCGGAAGGUUGUAAAAUCCUUUUGGGACUGAAGAAUAAGUGGUGCAGGGAAUGGCAUCGUGGUGACGGUAGGUCCUGAAUAAGCAACGGCUAAUUACGUGCCAGCAGCCGCGGUAACACGUAAGUUGCGAGCGUUGUUCGGAAUUAUUGGGCGUAAAGGGCAUGUAGGCGGCCCUGCAAGCUUGGUGUGAAAUCUAUGGGCUCAACCCAUAGGCUGCAUUGAGAACUACAGGGCUUGAGUCGCUGAGGCGGAACUGGAAUUCCAGGUGUAGGGGUG
rnacentral:rRNA from 1 species